UGCGUAGGCGGGUCUUUAAGUCAGGGGUGAAAUCCUGGAGCUCAACUCCAGAACUGCCUUUGAUACUGAAGAUCUUGAGUUCGGGAGAGGUGAGUGGAACUGCGAGUGUAGAGGUGAAAUUCGUAGAUAUUCGCAAGAACACCAGUGGCGAAGGCGGCUCACUGGCCCGAUACUGACGCUGAGGCACGAAAGCGUGGGGGAGCAAACA
rnacentral:rRNA from 1 species